rnacentral:rRNA from 1 species
UAGGGAAUCUUCCGCAAUGGGCGAAAGCCUGACGGAGCAACGCCGCGUGAGUGAUGAAGGUCUUCGGAUCGUAAAACUCUGUUAUUAGGGAAGAACAAAUGUGUAAGUAACUAUGCACGUCUUGACGGUACCUAAUCAGAAAGCCACGGCUAACUACGUGCCAGCAGCCGCGGUAAUACGUAGGUGGCAAGCGUUAUCCGGAAUUAUUGGGCGUAAAGCGCGCGUAGGCGGUUUUUUAAGUCUGAUGUGAAAGCCCACGGCAGAACCGGGGAGGGUCAUUGGAAACUGGAAAACUUGAGUGCAGAAGAGGAAAGUGGAAUUCCAUGUGUAGCGGUGAAAUGAGGAGAGAUAUGGAGGAAGAACAGUGGCGAAGGAGACUUUCUGGUCUGUAACUGACGCUGAUGUGCGAAAGCGUGGGGAGCAAACAGG